rnacentral:rRNA from 1 species
AUUGAACGCUGGCGGCAGGCCUAACACAUGCAAGUCGAGCGGAUGAAGAGAGCUUGCUCUCUGAUUCAGCGGCGGACGGGUGAGUAAUGCCUAGGAAUCUGCCUGGUAGUGGGGGACAACGUUUCGAAAGGAACGCUAAUACCGCAUACGUCCUACGGGAGAAAGUGGGGGAUCUUCGGACCUCACGCUAUCAGAUGAGCCUAGGUACGAUUAGCUAGUCGGUGAGGUAAAGGCUCACCAAGGCGACGAUCGUUAACUGGUCUGAGAGGAUGAUCAGUCACACUGGAACUGAGACACGGUCCAGACUCCUACGGGAGGCAGCAGUGGGGAAUAUUGGACAAUGGGCGAAAGCCUGAUCCAGCCAUGCCGCGUGUGUGAAGAAGGUCUUCGGAUUGUAAAGCACUUUAAGUUGGGAGGAAGGGCAGUAAGUUAAUACCUUGCUGUUUUGACGUUACCGACAGAAUAAGCACCGGCUAACUUCGUGCCAGCAGCCGCGGUAAUAC